AUGGUAGCUCUGUGGGAGGGGCUUACAUCCAAAACCAUCUAUAAAAGCAUUUGUAUGUAUAACACAACUGUUUGCAUAUUUAUAGGGUAUGUGAGUAACAUACCCUUUUCUCAUCAUUAUUCUCUUGAGCUUUCAUCUCAUGGUUAGAGUAGUUGCUGCAGCUGAGCCUGCUGGUUAAUGUCAUGUUGGGACCGAAGUGAAAGCGACAAGGUAAGUGUCCUUCAUUUCUAAGGGGCAUUAUGGCAGGAGAAGUCAGGGUUCAUUUUGGCUGAUUCACAGACCAACUAAAUCAGCUUAGAUUCAGCUGAUAGAAGACAGUAGGGUCAUGGAUCAGCAGGAUUCAUUGCUCAGGUAUAAUAUUUUGCAGAGUGAUUGACAGAGCAAAGAGUAAAACAAAACAAAAAAGUACAACAGCAAAACAAAGCAAACUACUACCACCACCAAAUCUCUGUGGGAAGACCUAGAGGAGAAAGGACAAUUAGUCAGGGUUAGAAAAUGGUCACAAGCACUUAUGAAGCUUCUAGAAAGUGGGAAGGACUACUCUAACAUUUGUAACAGAAACUCAGUAAACUCUCGCAAACUGAUUAAGGCUGAUCUUGCCUAUCUGCAAAAGCAAUAUUCCAGUGCUUUGUUCUUCAAUAGUAG
rnacentral:lncRNA from 1 species